rnacentral:piRNA from 1 species
UGCCAGGAAUGUUCCAGAACAAGAACA